UNCAUGGCUGUAUGCAGACAGCUGGUGUGUC
rnacentral:piRNA from 1 species